rnacentral:sRNA from 1 species
GGCUAGUCCAAAUGUAGUGGUGUUCAAAACUAAUUAAUCACAACCAGUUACAGAUUUCUUUUUCUUUUCCACUCGCACUUAGCCUUAA